GAGUUUGAUCCUGGCUCAGAGUGAACGCUGGCGGCGUGCCUAAUACAUGCAAGUCGAACGAUGAAGCUUCUAGCUUGCUAGAAGUGGAUUAGUGGCGCACGGGUGAGUAACGCAUAGGUUAUGUGCCUCUUAGUUUGGGAUAGCCAUUGGAAACGAUGAUUAAUACCAGAUACUCCCUACGGGGGAAAGAUUUAUCGCUAAGAGAUCAGCCUAUGUCCUAUCAGCUUGUUGGUAAGGUAAUGGCUUACCAAGGCUAUGACGGGUAUCCGGCCUGAGAGGGUGAACGGACACACUGGAACUGAGACACGGUCCAGACUCCUACGGGAGGCAGCAGUAGGGAAUAUUGCUCAAUGGGCGCAAGCCUGAAGCAGCAACGCCGCGUGGAGGAUGAAGGUU
rnacentral:rRNA from 1 species